CCUACGGGGGGCUGCAGUGAGGAAUAUUGGUCAAUGGACGAGAGUCUGAACCAGCCAAGUAGCGUGAAGGAUGACUGCCCUAUGGGUUGUAAACUUCUUUUAUAAAGGAAUAAAACGAGGCACGUGUGCCUUUUUGCAUGUACUUUAUGAAUAAGGAUCGGCUAACUCCGUGCCAGCAGCCGCGGUAAUACGGAGGAUCCGAGCGUUAUCCGGAUUUAUUUGGUUUAAAGGGAGCGUAGAUGGGUUGUUAAGUCAGUUGUGAAAGUUUGUGGCUCAACCGUAAAAUUGCAAUUGAUACUGGCAGUCUUGAGUACAGUUGAGGUAGGCGGAAUUCGUGGUGUAGCGGUGAAAUGCUUAGAUAUCACGAAGAACCCCGAUUGCGAAGGCAGCUUACUAAACUGUGACUGACAUUGAUGCUCGAAAGCGUGGGUAUCAAACAGGAUUAGAUACCCCAGUAGUC
rnacentral:rRNA from 1 species